AUAUAAAUAUAAAGUCAUCCUGAGCUAUAGAUUAACCCUGAGCAGGGUAGAGGGGCCCUCAUAUGUUGUAAAAAGGCUCCGUCCGUGAUCUGAAUCCGGCCGUGAUACACAGAGGGGGAGAAAGCCCCUCAACAGACCUCCAACGAGAAGGUACACACGGGGGAGGGGCCUUUAGCGGUCGCCCCCCCGCCCGGACACGUGGUCCGCGGGUGGAGACGGCCGCAACUUAGCGGCCAUGUGGGAAAAAAGAUACGGCCGCCGGGUACUCGUGCUCACUUGCGAGUACCCCCGCGGCCGGAAAAAAACACAUGGGACCACCGGAGAAGAACUCCGCGGUCCAGGAGCUCGGGGACAGAAGGAGGCAGAUGCCGUUAGCCUCCUGAAGCCCCCGAGCAGUACACACACACCGCCAGACAUAGGACAAAGGCUGAAAAGCAUAUAUUUAUAUACACACGAGGUGGGAAACUGACAGGGGAAACAAGCCCAAGGGGAUAGAGGGGACAGAAGGACACCAAACACCCCCCACAAAUCCAAAGCAUAGAUAAAAACAGUGAUAGCCUAAAUUAAAAGUAAUAAAGAAAGUCCUACAGGGACUAUAACAAAACUGUAUGUGAAAAGAAAAUUUCACAAGGGCAAACAAAAAAUACUGAAUAAAAUAUGCAAUAUAUAGGCAUAAAAUUCACACAAUGGUAACAUUAAAUACUGAAUAUGAAAGAAAAACCCACAAGGACAAUAUUAAAUACUGAAAAUAUCAGUCUAAAUCCCACAAGGACAAUAACAAUACUGAAUAUAAGCAAUAAACCCCAAAGCCACCCACUAUAAGCAGGAGGCAGUGGUACUCUGACCUGUACUGACUGCGGAGCAGCAAAGAAAGAGGCAAUGCUGUAUGGGGAGGGGAGUUUUAUAGUACCUAACUUUAUUCUGAUUGAUUGUUUUUCUGUGCUGCUGUGGAGUUCUAGUAAAGAGAGACUUAAGCAAAUACGAAGCCUCCUGUCAUGUUAUACAAUUGUAAAAUUGCAAUAUAAUAGGAUAUCUUGCCUAUGAGGAUUGUAGCCAGCAGUGAAAGAGUUAAUUCAGUGUGAUUUUUUAUUGCUUUACGUUGCACUGCUGUGUGUUCUGUGAAUUUUUGUCUUGUCUGUGAAGUUAUUUCUAAGUGAAGUAGUGUCCUGUCAUAAAUCUUGUUAAAUUGCAUAAAACUGUCGCUAUUUAGCUGUCUAUAUUGUGUUGAAAUCAUUGCCACAUUGCAUUCUUAUGUUAUACCUAAAUAUUCACUGAUUGUUGUUACACAUGUUCCAUAUAUUAUUUUUAUUAUUAUUGUCACAAUAAAUUAUAUUUUUUAUUAA